UACGGGGGGGGUAAGCGUUGUUCGGAAUUACUGGGCGUAAAGGGCUCGUAGGCGGCCAACUAAGUCAGGCGUGAAAUCCCUCAGCUUAACUGGGGAACUGCGUCUGAUACUGGAUGGCUUGGAUUCGGGAGAGGAAUGCGGAAUUCCUGGUGUAGCGGUGAAAUGCGCAGAUAUCAGGAGGAACACCGGUGGCGAAGGCGGCUUGCUGGGCCUUACCUGACGCUGAGGAGCGAAAGCGUGGGGAGCGAACAGG
rnacentral:rRNA from 1 species